rnacentral:pre_miRNA from 1 species
AUCACCUGGGGAUCUUGUUAAAAUGCAAAUUCUGAUUCCGUGGAUUUGGAGUGUCACCUGAGAUUCUGCAUUUCCAACAAGCUUCCAGGGGCUGCUGG